rnacentral:rRNA from 1 species
UAGAGUUUGAUCCUGGCUCAGGAUGAACGCUAGCUACAGGCUUAACACAUGCAAGUCGAGGGGAAACGACAUCGAAAGCUUGCUUUUGAUGGGCGUCGACCGGCGCACGGGUGAGUAACGCGUAUCCAACCUGCCCAUCACUUGGGGAUAACCUUGCGAAAGUAAGACUAAUACCCAAUGAUAUCUCUAGAAGACAUCUGAAGGAGAUUAAAGAUUUAUCGGUGAUGGAUGGGGAUGCGUCUGAUUAGCUUGUUGGCGGGGUAACGGCCCACCAAGGCGACGAUCAGUAGGGGUUCUGAGAGGAAGGCCCCCCACAUUGGAACUGAGACACGGUCCAAACUCCUACGGGAGGCAGCAGUGAGGAAUAUUGGUCAAUGGGCGAGAGCCUGAACCAGCCAAGUAGCGUGCAGGAUGACGGCCCUAUGGGUUGUAAACUGCUUUUAUAAGGGAAUAAAGUGAGCCUCGUGAGGCUUUUUGCAUGUACCUUAUGAAUAAGGACCGGCUAAUUCCGUGCCAGCAGCCGCGGUAAUACGGAAGGUCCGGGCGUUAUCCGGAUUUAUUGGGUUUAAAGGGAGCGUAGGCCGGAGAUUAAGCGUGUUGUGAAAUGUAGACGCUCAACGUCUGCACUGCAGCGCGAACUGGUUUCCUUGAGUACGCACAAAGUGGGCGGAAUUCGUGGUGUAGCGGUGAAAUGCUUAGAUAUCACGAAGAACUCCGAUUGCGAAGGCAGCUCACUGGAGCGCAACUGACGCUGAAGCUCGAAAGUGCGGGUAUCGAACAGGAUUAGAUACCCUGGUAGUCCGCACGGUAAAC